ACGACCAGCAGAGCAGCACCAUGAGGUCCACUACGCCAGCGUCUGCUUCACCCAGAACCGGGCAGAUGACCUCUACGCCAACAUAGGUAGAGUUCAACCCCAGAGGGAAACUGAGGAAGAGGAGGAGGAGGCUGAAUACAGCGCUGUUCGAUUUGUCAGUGCAACAGGAACAAGACGUGAAGAAGAGGGGGACGAUUCAUCUGCAGUGUACAGCACAGUCACCAAACACUGAAGAGACACAACGUGAAUCUGUUGUUUAUAUGUGGAUUUUACAUUAUCACAGAACCAGAAGAAAUAAAACAUGUAGACAUGUG